GGCGACAUCGCCAAGUGGUAAGGCAAAGGUCUGCAAAAUCUUCAUCCCCGGUUCGAAUCCGGGUGUCGCCUCCA
rnacentral:tRNA from 1 species